AAAAAGGGGAAGGCAUCGACACAAAACGGGCUCGGCAAAAAACCUCUCGGAUCCUGGAAACGCGUCCUGGGACGGAGCUGGAGCACUGCUGCUGGGGCUUUGGGUGGCUGAUGGAGCUCUCCAGGCGUGCGGAGAAAGGCUGGGGACGCUUUGUCUGGAGAUGGAGUACAAUGAUCCUCAAGAUGGAGAGAGCUCUGCCAAUGCAAGAGCAUCCUGAAUGCCAACCUUGGGAAGUCUGUUGAGGGAACACUGGGGAAGCAAAUGCAGCCUGGCUCCACUCUAGGAGAAAGACAAUGAGAAGGGGAAGAAGCAUAUGAAUGUAGAAGACUGACUCCCACCUUGCACUAUGCUGCAUGCUAGGCAGGACCACACAUCACCUCCUUUUCACCUGAGUCAAUGGGUGCCACUUGCGGACAGGAACUAGGAGAUAGAUAGGAAGUGGGGAUGAGAACCUGUAAAGAGAUACCCUCUCAACUGAGCCCUGGUAUAGACAUCCCAUGCUGGAUGGUGCAGACAAGAGGAUGGACUGACAAGGGGAGACAGGAGUCAGGUCUUACAACUACAAAGAUCAGCAGUUGUGAUCCCAGCACCAGAGUCCCCUUACAGGACAAGGGUGAGUUUUGGUAGGGACAGCCAUGGCAUAGAAGGUCUUAGCCUGGACUCUGUCCCCCUGCAGCCCUACAGGCAGGAAAGUUGUCCUGCCUGUAAUGUCAACCCAGUGCGGAAGCAAGCCUUGACCCACUCUGGAUGCCCUUGAUGGUUACUCCCAAGGAACAAAUGUCUCAGCUGAACAUCUUGUGGCUGCUAUGGUUUCCAGAGUAGGUUCCAAAAAAAAAAACAGGGACUUGCUUGAAGAGUGCCAGCCUGCACCGAAGUGGGUUGAUUGUCGUGUGGGUCCCAAGGCUGCCCUAUGAACAGGUAGAGCCACAGCUAAAAGACUUUCCCUCCUCCCUGCUGAAAACGUACUCACAUGUAUUUCUCCUCUCACUUUUUCUCCAUACCCAAACAGCAUUCACGCAAGGAGGGUGAGCUGGGGAAAACAGCAUCAAUUAAACAUCUACUUCUCUGUGAGGAGCACUUCAUGUGACAGUGGCAGCCACCUCACCACCCAGCCCUGACAGUCACAACACUGGGGUGGUGACAGGGAGAGACUGCAAGAGCAGAGGGUCUCCUAGACAUGACAAACUUGCCAUGCUCUUCUCAACAAGUAUGCAGAAAAUCAGCAUGAGAUAAGGCAUACAGAACAGUUUCUUUCCCUUCUUUCUUUUUUUUUUUUUGUCCGAGCAAUACAUAUCUGCAAAAGAUAGACUCAAAAGUCCCAGUAUUCAGAACUUCUGCUAUGCAGUCGAUCCAGCUGAAAAGCGAACAAACAAACAAACAAAAAAAGAAAAAAGAAAAAAAAGAGAGAGAGAGAGAAACCUUUCUGAAAUCACACUUAGUAAUUUUCCAGCAGAUCUACAAAAGGAAGCUUUUAUUCUUUUGGUUGUGCAUGUCUCCUCAGAAAGCAAAAGGCCUCAUCUGAUACCGAAACAGGUCACGCUGGUUAUUUAAAUUUUGGUUGUGAGAACACUUGCUCAUGUGUCCUUCCCUGCUCAAGGAAUGGUCUUAGCUUAAUGAAGCCACUAACUUCGCUCUAUAGAGCUAAGUGUUUUCUUUUAAUUUCUCCUUCGCUCUUGGAAGACCACUCAUGCUCAACACUGCACAUGUGCAAACAUGUAGAGACAAACAUUUUCUUUUCUCUCCUCCCCCGCACCAGCAUCUUCUGCCCAUAUGGGACAGAUAAUCCCUUUUCAUAUCAGCUCAUCUUCUUCUUUCAACACAGUUUCCUUGACAUCCCAAAUUACAACCAAAUGGAGGAACGGAGGAAUGAGCCUGAAAUCAAUUUCAGAUCACUCAAAAGAAAUAGAUUUAUAGCAAAGAUAAAUCAGCAAAACCUUUGAGGGUAGAUCCCUGAAUUCUUGCCGCAAUCCCUGACAUAUUUAGUACCUGUUGAUAGAGGCUAAGACAGCACCUAGUCACUGAGGCAAGGGGCUGGGACACGCGCAGAGGUCAUCUUCCCCAUGGGUGGUGGUGGGAUGAGCAUCCCUUGCAAUGGAAGGGUUUGGGUCAAGAGUGUCUGUAGGAGCAUCCCCAAUGAGGCAUGGAGCAUCAUCCUGUGUGUCCCACGUGGGACAGGUGGGAUAAGGGAGGUCCAACACUUGUGGCUGCUUUUAAACACAGGUAAAGGAUGCCCUGAGCACCCCAGCUGGAUUUUUAGCCCCACGUGGUUAACAAGAGCUUCUUAAGAGUUAUCUAGGAGAUAAUCCAGAAAUUCCCUAACUGUGAGGAACUAUAAGAAACAGUACAAUCGCUGGUAGCAUUCUGGGGUGCAUUAAAAAUAUUAUAGCCAGCAUGUUUGAUGGAGACUGUCCUCCCCUUCUACUUGCCCUUGUAAGGCCACAUCUGUAGUACUGUGUCCAGUUCUGGGUUCUUCAGUUCAAGAAAGACAUGGAACUUCUAGAGAGAGCCCAGUGGAGGGCCACAAAGAUGAUGAGCCCAGAGCAUCUCCAUUAUGAGGAAAAGCUGAGAGACCUGGGACUAUUCAGCAUGGAGAAGACUGCUUAUAAAUAUCUAAUGGGUGGGUGACAAGUGGGUGGGGCCAGGCUCUUUUUGGUGGUGCCCAGUAACAAAACAAGGGGCAAUGAGCACAAACUGGAACAUAGGAAGUUCCACUUGAACAUGAGGAUAAACUUCUUUACUGUGAGGGUGGCAGAGCACUGGAACAGGCUACCCAGAGGGGUUGUGGAGUUGCCUUCUCUGGAGAUAUUCAAAACCUGCCUGGACACCUGCCUGCGCGACCUGCUGUAGGGAGACUGCUUUAGCAGGGAUUGGACUCGGUGGUCUCCAGAGGUCCCUUCCAACCUCUCUGAUUCUGUGAUUCUGUAAAACGAGCCACCAAACUCAUCCCAAAGAGACACGCACAGGAGCCAAAUCACUGCCCAUACUAACACAGUUAGUAUGUACAUACUGCACAUAUAGGGGAGUAAUGGCUUUGCAGAGUCAAGACUUUUUGAGACUGACGAGUGGGAAGUCAAGGCCAGAGGUUGCCAGGAAGCCAGAAGCUGCCCCAGCAGUAGCACCAGUGGGCGAGGAAGUGCACAGCUAGUUUGGCCAUUAACUCAAAUGCACACUUAGAUAAGAGGAAAACAGUGCAUUUGGUGGCGAGAGGGGCCCGAUGGCAUCUGCCAAAGCUACCAGCAAAAUGCCUGCUCACUCCAGGAAGAGCAGAUUUGUUUCUGGAUCCUAUGAAGGAAAAUGCUGACAUUAAGCCUAAAUUUUCCACAUUUUUUUUUCUUUCUAGACACGUUUGAAUCUUUUCACUUGAUUAACACCGAAUUUCAAUAUUUCAUGAAGUUAAUGCCCAGGGAAAAAACAAAUCUUACACUAGUAUGUACUUAUAUCAAAGAUCCCAACUCCAGUUAAUUUCACGAGGAAAAAAGAGAAAAAAAAAAAAAAAAAGAAAGAAAUCACAGCCCUGAGAAUUGCAUCGUGUUGCCAGUUAUGUUCAUCUCUCUUUCUGGAGACUUCGCUUGGCUUGGACAUCAACAGGACUACUUCAGGAAUGAGGCACUUUUUAGCAUGGGGAAGGGUAAUAAAACUCAGUCUUUUGUUU
rnacentral:lncRNA from 1 species